rnacentral:lncRNA from 1 species
GUACGAGAUUGGCCAUGGCAGCCAUCAUAGAGGCAGCCAUGCAGUAUAAAGAUGAGAAGUGAGAACAAUAUAAAUGUGGUGAGAAAUUUUGUUUUAAAGAAAGAAAACCUUGAAUAAAACACGAUGUAUUUGUGGAAAUAGUAAAGGUCAGUAUGUUAUGUAUAAUAUGAAAUAUAUUAGUAAAAUCUACUUUGAUUAUCUAGUUAGUUUUAACCUCAUUAACUUGAAUAUGUCGAAAUUUAUCUUAUGCUCAUAGACAUAGGAUUUCAAUCGUUUGUAAUCAUAUGACAUAAAAAUUGCCUUACAAAAUGAACGGUUUGUUAUUAUAUUUAAAAACCAGCCAGGCACUUAGGCCAAUGACCAGCUAAAACAUUCACAAUAUAAAUUCACAUCACAAGCACUAAAAGCAGGCUCGACUUCAAAGUUUCAAACCAUUAACAUUUUACGCUUGGAGGUUAAUAUGCCAAUGAGCCUGCCACAUGCAAUGCUAGAAUGGAGACUAUAAAACUAUAAAGAAUUAAAGUCUAUGCAUGUUGAAGAUUUUACACAAGGUAAAAUUGGGCUGCAGAAACCAGAGUUCCUUAAUUUUUUUGUCAGAGAUACCCAUCGUAACAGCCAGGGAUUCCAAUGUGGGAUUCUGGAAAGUAUGUCACCUUGGCCAUUAAGAGCCUUGUUUUUGUAUGCAUCCAGUUUCUCUGCCUUCCUGUCUUACAACACUACAAAUAUCAAAUGUUAAAACAUCUGCUAAUCUUUGUCUUUUCCAACUUCUCCACAAUUUCACCAACUUCAUAUGUCAGUCAUUUUUUUGUCCAGGUAUGUAAUAGGCUUAGGGUGUAUCUGGUCGUUUCAUCCCCCUUGCCGUUUUGUCCUCUUUAGGUUUCAUUCCCUUUACAUUUCGUCCCCCACAAUAGAUACCAUUUUCUCUAUAAACUAUUUAUCCUACUUUUUCAUAACAUAUAUUUAUUUUUGUUUCUACUUUGAUCACUCAUAAUUUUGUCAUCAUGAUUUCAGUUUUGUCAUUUAUACUUUCAAUAUACUUUCAUUUAUAUAUACACUGCAUGACUCAGUGACUGCAAGCUUUUUGACUGUGUUAUGGAUGCAACACUUUCUUGUAUUGAGGAUAAUUCUGUUUUAUGAGAUUGUAUCUCAGUGGAUUGUAUGCCUGGAUUAUACACAUGGGACUGUUUCAUUUCCUUUUUGGUCAUCGUAUUGUUUAUAAUAGUGGCAUGAUGACAAAAUUAUGAGUGAUCAAAGUAGAAACAAAUAUAAUUAUGUAGAAACAAAUAUAAUUAUAACAAAUAUUAUAUAUGCCUGGCCACGGUGGGAAUCAAACCUACAACCUUUGGAAUACUAGCCCAAUGCUCUGCCAACUGAACUAUGCGAUCAGGUCGGUUUGAGUAUGUGAUGUUGGCAGAGCAUUGGGCUAGUAUUCCAAAGGUUGUAGGUUCGAUUCCCACCGUGGCCAGGCAUAUUUUUCGAGCCUGCCCGGGGUGGAUACACACUCAGAGUAACAUCACAAACAUCAUAUUCACCUGAGUACAUUACACCAACACAGAAGAAAUCAUGAUUACUCGAUUGCAUUGAUAUCGAAGGAACUUAGACUCAUUUCCGAUUAAUAUCACAUACUUGAACUGACCUGAUCAUGUAACUCAGUUGGCAGAGCACUGGGCUAGUAUCCCAAAUAUCGUAGGUUCGAUUCCCAUAGUGGCCAGGCAUAUUUUUCAAGCUUGCCCAGUGCGGACACACACUCAGAUUAACAUUACAAACAUCAUAUUCACCUAAGUACAUAACACCAACACAGAAAAAUUCAAAUAUAAAUAUAUCUGACUUGUGUAUAGUGUAUAUAUAGUUCAUGAAAAAGUAAUAUAAAGUAAGUUUAUAGACAAAACGGUAUCUAGUGUGGGGACAAAACUUAAAGGGGACAAAAUAGAGAGGGGACGAAACGGGGGGGGGGGGCAAACGAGGAGGGCACAAAACAGCAAGGGGAGGGCAUGAAACGACCAUAAAACAGGUCCCCACGUCACUGUUUCACUCAACUGACACAAGUGCACCUCUGGGAUUAGCACUGAGAUCAGGUGUGCUAUAUUUUGAAAGAGAAUUUGCCCUCAGGUGCGCUUGUGCCUAGCGUGAGGCGGUUUCUACAAAAAAACAGAAAACCAACCAAAAAAAACUGAGUGUUUUUAAACCAGUUUUUAAAAAAAAUACAUUCAAAAAUCGAAACUAUGGGGAAAACACUCUACUCAGUACUCACACAAGAUAUUAAACAUAAGGUAUUUUGAAGACAUUAUCAAAUUUCACAGGGAGCCCAAGCGUUGAUCUGUUAGCAUUGGUAUGUUUUUCAGUUGAUUUAUUUUAGUGUCUUUAUAUUGCCUUUUAAUUGAAUUAUAUGUUCACUAAAUUACACUAAUAUGUCAUAUAAUAAUAAUACUCCUAUAGUCUAACAUAUAAUAACAACAUAUACGUUAAUGAUUUGUAUUUGUAUGUUUUUCAGUUUAUUUAUCAAGAUCUAUUAUUAGCUUAUAUAAAAGCACUGCCUUUUGAACCUGACAGCCUGUUCACAGGAUACGCGCGCGGAAGAGGCGGCAAGAUAUAAAUAGUGAUAAGGGAUGAAACUCUUAAAGUUUAUCAUAUUAUGAAUGCCCCGACUUGAGUGGACCGAGCAAUGAGUGACAUGUCAAAUGAACGCCGUCAAUCUUUAGGAAUCAAUGAUAUAAACAAGGAAACAAACUCGAGGGGAGUCAAUUUGUGUCGACCAUAAAGGUUUCAAUGUUUAAAAUUUAAAAUUAGUUAACUACAUUAGGUCCAGUCAAGUCAGGGCAUUCAUGCUACGAAACGUCGCUAUUAAAAACUAUAGCAAUUUAUAAGACGCUAGGGCUUUUAUUUCACAAAAUUUUUCAUACUAGGGGGUCAACUUUUUGCAAUAGGCACUUCUUUAAAUGUCAUUGUCGAUUUUUUUGCUGUUUGAAGCUUAUGCUAUUGUUUAGCGGCAAAAUGCAUAUAAAAUUAUGAUGCUCAAAAACAAUGGAUAAUUCAAUUUUGUGUUAACAAAAACAAAAGCGUGUGCAGCGAAUAAAUUUCACUCACUUAGCGAAUAAAUUUUUACAUUGUCAUUGGCGUGUUAAUUUAAAAAUUAAACCACCUUGCAAUUCCAUUCACAAAUGUAAAUAAUCAUGUAAAUAUUUUCUCUACAAAAUGUGCUCUCAGAAUGCUGUAAGUGCCAUUUCCGGGAUUCAAAUUUUAAAAUUUUCCCAGAGUAUUUUCGUAAAGUGUUCACCACUGGCCGAAUUUCAAGCUAAAAUUCGUUUUAACAAGCACAUACAGCUUCAAAAUAAAACAUUGCCGAAUUGUAAUUUCAUCCCUUGUCGCUUUUCCUAUUUUCAGUGGGAAAUAACAUGCGUAUCCUGCGAACGGGCUGUCAGGUUCAGUUCGAAAGGCGGUGCUUUUAUAUAAGCUAAUAAUAGAUCAUAAAUAAACUGAAAAACAUACAAAUCAACUUAUAUGUUGUUAUUAUAUGUUCGACAAUAGGAGUAUUAUUAUUUAGUGUAAUGUAGUGUUAUAAUUCAGUUAAAAGGCAAUAUGAAGACACUAAAAUAAAUAAACUGAAAAAGAUACAACACAGACACAGAUCAAUGCUUGGGCUCUCUGUGCAAAUUUCAAACAAAAUCGCUUUAGUUUUUCAUAUGUAAAUGCCAUUAAAAAAUCAUUAAUAAUUCAUGAAGAAAACACAAAGAAAAAUCAUAAGCGUGUCGUAUCUGUAUAUGUCAUACAGAUUCAUGUUGAUUUACAUAAACUUUAACUUUGAUUUUAACUUUGAUUUUAACAUUGUAUAUCCGAUACAACACUGCCGCUCAUGUUGUAAAUAGUACAAACUUGAUUCAUUUGCAACAAACUCGUAUAAGGAUGGUUUGAUUUUAGUAAAAUACUGAUUUUUCUUAUGUUUUUUUUUUCAUUUUUCCCUGGUUUUCUCAGUUUUUCUCCAAAAGUAACAUCGAGUAUUUCGGUUUUCAAAAAACAUCGGGGUUUUUCGGUUUAAAACCGCCUCACCCUACUUGUGCCACGUUCUGCAAACUGGGAUGCAUGACGUUAGGAAUCCAAUGGUGCAAUCAUGAAAACAAGACUCUAACAAGGCCCACUUCUAAUGUGAACCAUUAGAACCAUUUAUCCCAGUAUCUUCAUGGUGACAGGAAAAGUGAAUUUCAUCCCGGACUGGUAGAUAUAAAUCAGUUUUAGAUGCAUUGCAGUGCAGGCCAACAUGAUCAGCCAAAAUAUAUCAUGCUUAUUUAAUUAAAACAAGUAUGAAGUCAAAUAUUAGUCUAUAGUCCAACAAAAACUGAUUUAAAAUGUCCGAACACUCUUUGUCUUGGAUAAACAUUUGAUUUACACUGCAAAAUUUAUUUGCAGGUUAAAUUAACCAGACCAUGUUUGGCGAAGUGGUUAGCGCACUUGCCUUUCACCCCUAAGGUUGCAGGUUCUAGUCCCAGUGAGAACUUUCUCGACUCGAACUCAGUCCUCAUGUGAAAAGAGUAAAAGCCAACACUCUGCCGCAAGUUGUGGGUUUCCCCUGGGUACUCUGGUUUCCUCCCACGGGGAAAGCCGACAGGGUGGGUUAGGUAAAAGGGCCCACAAUUGGCAUAUGCCGUUGUGAUGACUCUGCCCCACUGCCCUGCCCUAGUUGGCAAAGCUAAAUAAAUAAAAAACCUUGAUUAUUUCAACAAGACCUAAGGCAGUUUAUCUUGUAAGGAACUAUUAGUUCUGUAUAACCUGUCCUAAUUAUACUAUUUUUGUAAUUUCAAAAAUGUAUAAUUAAAUUGAGUAAAUAAAUAAAAGUACAAUAACCAGAAAAUAUAACCAGAAAUAUUAAGUUAUGGUACCCGAAGGUCAAAAUAGUGUUAUGUCUCUAGUUAACUAGGAAAUUUUAACCAGAUUGUUUUUAGAGUGUGCACAGAACUGUUGAGAUAUUCUAUAUUAACCAUAGUUUUAAGAACUAUUUAGAAAACUUACCUGGUAUGUUGUUUGGCUUUGCUUUAAAUGAGGUUCCCUUUAUAUUUGAUAAUCCUAAAGAUAUAAGAAUAUACACUUGUACUCUUUCAAUGUUUUUGAAAUAGAUACAGUACUGUAGAUUUGGACAAAGGCAAUUGAUCAGUGACUUUUAAAGUUUAUACUUUACAAUAAACAUAUAUGUAUUAACGGGUAUAAGGUAUAAAGGUAUAAACUACAGGUAUAAAGCAAACACUCUUUGCUACCACGACACUUAUCUCUAGAAGUAAACGAUUUGGUACAGUACUUAAUUAAUUUACGAGUAUAAAUUAAGAUGGAAAUGUUAACGAAGGAAAGGGCAACAUGGACGAUCGUGCUCAAUAGGAUAACUGUUUGUACACGAUUUCAUUUUGGUGAAGAUCACCUUGAGUUAAGUUUAUGCACAAAACUAUGCAGAAAAUUACAGGUUUCAAACUCUUACCGUAUUAUUUCUUCUCUCAAGAAUUGUGGCAAACUACAGUGUAUAGAAAUCAUGUGUUCAGAAUAAUGUAGUGCAUAAAGUUCCGGGGGGGGGGGGGGGGGGAGCAGAGGCCAUUUGCGUGGGUUAAGAAACCAAAUUAUGUUAUUAAGGAGGUCGAAAGAUUUUGUGAUAAUAACAGGUGUACCAGACCAAAUUUCACAGUUUCGAUACAUCUCUGUAUUAUAUUAAAUAUGAUAUAACAUCAUACGAUAGCUACUUUUCCCCAGUGGUAAUAACUUGUUGAAAUGUAUGCACUGUAAAGGGUAUGCACUGUAAUAUAUAAUGUAUACAAAUGUGGGACCAAAUGCUCCCCCCCCCCCCUCCCCCCCAGCACAAUAAGUGUUAAACAUGUAAUAUUGUACGUUUGCGUGAACGAAAAACAGUUAAUUAAUCCAAAAGAGUGAAAGGUUGCCGAAAUAUUAGGUCCUACCCAACGUAAAAUACAACCUUCUAGAAAUGUUUUGCAAAAAAUGUAAUUUGCGUAAUGUAAUAGCCAGAAUGAAGCUACAGUAACAAAUUUUUCUGAUACAAUUAAGUAAAUUGUCUUAUACGUUACAGAUCUUUAACUACUUACUGUAUUGCAAACUUUUUUUGUCUACUUUUAGUACUUACAGAUCUAAACGGCUGGAUAGUGUAAAUAGAUGGACUUCAAGAAAUCCUCCGAGACUUUAACUCAAAUGCAGAUAGAGGGCAAAAAAGGACUUUUUAUUUUUUUAUUUUACAAGUUUUGCCGUUAAAAUUGCAGGGGCGGAUCAAUACUCAUCUGACAGGAGGGGUGCAGAUUUCCGGAGGGGGGGGGGGGGNNNNNNNNNNNNNNNNNNNNNNNNNNNNNNNNNNNNNNNNNNNNNNNNNNNNNNNNNNNNNNNNNNNNNNNNNNNNNNNNNNNNNNNNNNNNNNNNNNNNNNNNNNNNNNNNNNNNNNNNNNNNNNNNNNNNNNNNNNNNNNNNNNNNNNNNNNNNNNNNNNNNNNNNNNNNNNNNNNNNNNNNNNNNNNNNNNNNNNNNNNNNNNNNNNNNNNNNNNNNNNNNNNNNNNNNNNNNNNNNNNNNNNNNNNNNNNNNNNNNNNNNNNNNNNNNNNNNNNNNNNNNNNNNNUAACUAAUUUUAUAUAAAUGUGAUUAUGAUUGUAACAUAAUUAUGCAGUCAAGAAAUAAAAAUGUCAUGCAAACAAUAUUUGAAGUGUCUAUACAGCCAACAGCCGGCUAUUUAGUAAACUGUCACUUGUCAAACCAUGAAGUCUCAACGGCUUUAUUGUAAUCAUAUGAAGUUCUGUCACUUGUUGUUUACACUUGCCAAUGUUAGGGGUGCACUGGAACUCGGUUCCGGUCGGAACCCUGAUUUGUGAGAGUUCCGGUUCCGGACGGAACUAAUAAAAAACCAUGGCCGGAAUCGGAACUUUGUCCUUUACAUUGUAUCGGAUCACUUUGCGUCCGACGCAAAAACCAUACCGGAUAGGGCUUCUGUUUACAUAUGAAAUGUUGUUAUCGUCUCAAUUUCUGCAACGAACCGGUGGUGCGGCGGUUCGCUCUUNNNNNNNNNNNNNNNNNNNNGGGGGGGGGGGGGUUCAUUGGUGCGCUACCAAAGGGGCUGACCGGGCUGUUGUAUAUUUUUUAGGCAUAUCGCCAUAACCCCUGUUUUGUGACUCCUGCCCAUGUGAUCAACUCAUCAAGUGCGGAGCUGGGAUGAACAUAAAAUGCUCUGCUAGUACUUUAAUUAGUAACUUGCUAAAUUAUUUAUUGCGCACAGUACACGUUCAAAGUAUCAUUAUUUAAUAAUUAUUAAUGAAUAACAGUAUAAAGUUAUAAAAUAUAGUUGUAUAGCUUCUAAGUAUAGCUUUCUUAGAAUAUUUCAAAUUCGUGAAAAUCGUAUAGUAACAAACUAACAAAGUUUGUAAUAAAUAAAUGAAAUAAUGAAUAGUUUUUUCAAGUUCUCAAUUUACAGUAGUAAUAAGUACAUUAUACAUUUUAUACAGUUAGACUAGUAAUCAGUUUAUUACUUAGACUUUAGCCCACUUAUUGCGCAUGUUUCCCCAUGCUGUUACGACUUCAUCCAAAUCCAGCAAAUCAACAACAUCUCUGUUUAACGAAAUGCAUAAAAGAUCACUUAGGCUAUGUUUACAUUGUAUCGGAUCACUUUGCGUCCGACGCAAAAACCGUACCGGAUAGGGCUUCUGUUUACAUAUGAAAUGUUGUUAUCGUCUCAAUUUCUGCAACGGACCGGUGGUGCGGCGGUUCGCUCUUCGAAGUGGUGCGCGAUGUAUCGGAUCGGUUUUUGCAACGCUCUCAUUGUAAUGUAAACACCAAUCGGAGCAAUUUUCGGUUCAAUGCGUGACUCAAGAUGGCAUCAGGGAAACAAAGACUUGCUAUUCUAAUCUUAUUUGCGGGUAUAGCUUGGCUCACUUAUGAUAUUUUUGUAUUUAGUUGGGCGAGGGCGGAAGCUGUUUAUUUACACUUGGGCCGUAACGUUUCGUGAACGAAGCAAAAACCGAUCCGAUACAAUGUAAACAUAGCCUUAAUCUUUCUGGAAGAAGGGUGGAUCGCAGCUUCGUGCAGAUACGAUUCAUGCUGGAAAAUGCUCUUUCCACUGAAGUGGUUGAUGUCGAGAUGGUAUUCUUACUGCAAUUAAAGUUGUCAAGUUUGGAAGCCUCUUUAGAUUUAUUGGUAGACCAAGACGGUAAUCAACUUCAGCUCUUUCGAUUUCUAGUUCGAGGAUAGAUCUGUUGGUUUUGAGACAGCUGAAGAUAUUCUGAACCUGCAUUAAGAACAUUGAUAGCUCUGAGGAUGUCUAUGUUCUUAGAGUCAAAUCUGACAUUAAACUCAUCGUUGAGUUUCUUCUUCAGCUCUGCGUUGAGUUCUCCAAUAAAUUCUUUUACCUGAUGACCCUGAUCGUCGGGAGUCGUAACUGUUGUACCUGGUCCUCUAGUGUUGUGGAUAGGCAUUGUGUCGCAGAGAGUCUCCAGUCUUUCUUGAAAUUUCUUUCAACUGAAUGAAUAUGUCCUCGUCUUUGAUGUUGUUAAUUGAAUUCCGAGUUCGAGUCAGGUCGUAUUAAACGUCCGUCCAAUCAAUUUCUUCGGCCUGAAGUUCUUUAUUAAGGAAGUAUACUGUAGCUUGCCGAGAUAGUUAUGAAGUGUCGUUAGACCGACGAUGAAUUUUCCUGACAUCAGUUUGUGGUACAGUCCAGCUGCUGUUUCUGCCUGUGAUUUCUUGUACCCAUACUCAUCAUCUUCCGAAUCUUCAUCACUUCCACCGGGGUUGUUUGCCACGUCUAUCAGGGUCGUGAGGACAACGUAACACCAAAUCUUUCAGAUAUAACAUCAACGGCUUCGUAUUUGCAUGCCCAACGAACAUCGAUUUGCCGCGUAAUAUGUUUAACUUGUUUGCUAGGAUACAUUUCUCUGUGGAGAGAUUCGUACUUUUAUCUGAUCUUCGGUUUAUUGAGCAGUGUAUGGCAGGAUUUUACUGUGAACAUAACAUCCGUUGAUGACAAAGUUAGACUUGCGCUCGUAGCUUAGACUUACAGUAUUAUUCUUAGCCUUUUCACUGAAAUUUUAAGCUUAGUAUUCUAUCUUGUUUUUCACCAAGUGAAGUUUAGUCGUUGCUUUUUAUCUGGCCUUUUAUUAAAAUUGAAUAUGCGUUUGGAUAUUUGAUCUUUAGACGUUUUUACGUACAGUAGUAUAUUUACGUUUUAUACGUAGUUUGGACGAUAUCUCCUACACUGUUUGUUCCGUUUAGAUCACUGGUGGUAAUCAUUCCAAGAUCUUUCUGACUGGACAAUUGUUUGUCUGGAGUACCAAGUAGUGUGCCGAAAUGGUAGUAGAGGAUCUAUGAAUUCGCAGGUUUUACAUUGAAGCAUCCGACAAGGAAACGUGCCAUUAUCUGACGACUAAUCCUAUGAUAGGGAAAUACGAAUUAGGGCCUCUCGGAUAUUUUUGCUGUGUCGAAAAGAGACUAGGGGGUUAUCGGGGAAAGUGGAAGAUGUUUGAAGGUCGUUUUUUUAAGACAUGGAAAUCCUUCAUAAUGACAUUUCUUGCUUCAAAAUUACAAGGAUGAUAAGUUACUGUAAAACUAGGGGAAUUCUGUGAUUACCUGUGACAUUAAACGGAGUUUGGGAGGCCUUCGAAAAGGUAGUGUCUACUAAUAGAGAUGUGAGUUAGCCUCGUUCCUCAUUUCCAUUUCUGGCUUGGAAGUCCUCAUAUUCAUUGCAAAUGCGGCGAAGACGAAGGAACUGAGAAAAGAAACUCGACCUUUCGGAAAAUAGGGAAUAGCUAUGGGAGUCAGUAGGUUUGUAGAACACAGAAGUAACUAGUUUAUUGCCAUUUAUUGAUACAAGGAUAUCAAUCACUGGUGAUCAUUCUGAAACUGCCAAAAACCCCAAUACCUCAUAUCCACUAAAUAUCGCACACCUGUCAUGAACUUUAACACUUCUACAUUGUGUUCUUUUGUUCUCUCAUCACAUUAAGGGGCUGAUUACAUGGACUCAUGGAGCGAUUUCAGCCCGGGCUGAGUUUCAGCCCAGCUACCCGGGCUGAAUAUUUAAACGAUUACAUACAGUAGACAUUUUCAAUCUGAUUUAGCCCUGGUAAAAUUUAUCGCUGGCUUCGCGAGAAAUACGAAAUUUAACGCGUGAAAUUUGAUAAAAACACUACAGCGCAUGCGUGUAAGGAGUUUCAGCCGUGGCUGAAGUGAUUACAUGGCAAGAAUUUCAGUCCGGGUGUACUUUUUAGCCAGGGUUGCUCGGGCUGAAAUUCUUGCCAUGUAAUCGCGCGCGGGAUUUUAUUGGGAUUUAUCGUUAAAGCCAGCCUGGGUAGCCGAGCUGCAUGAAAUCACUCCAUGUAAUCAGCUCCUAAAACGAGUUAAUUUUGUGAAAAUUAAUCACAAUUCGUGACUCAGUUUUGUCAAAACUCUGCGGGAUGACAGCGCCCGGCGUUACGUCACAAAAUAGAGCUCUCUGAUUUACUGGGAAAUUUUAAAAAAUUCAAUAAAACUCUCUGAUUGGCUUUCCGAAAUUUC